CUAGGAUUUACAAUGCUCGUGGCAAUGUAAGCCGGUGGUGCCUUCAAUCUUAAGGUACCAACAGAAAAAUACUAUAAUUGGCUGAUAAUUGUUUAUACGUAUUUAAGUAUGUUUUAAUACUGUGAAGCAACGAAAAACCAUAUUGAAAUAAAAUCGUAAUUUUUUUUAUUGCAGGUAUGUACCUAUCAGGUAUUAUAUUUUAUAAUAUUUAUAACAACAUAAAAAUGUGUAAUACUCAAUGACAGAUAGAUCAUCUGUAGUCGUGGACUCGUGCUGCUUUUAAAUUAUAUUAGGUAUAUUGAAUAUAAAUUAAUAUUUUGUAUUGAAAAACCAUGAAGUUAUAAAUAAAUAUUUAAGACUAAAUUGAACAAAAUAUUUUAUAGAUAUAGAUUACGUAGUGUUAAGCCUUCAUGAUAUACUCCCCAUAUCUAGUAAUGUGUACCUAUACAAAUUAUUUGCUACCUGGGACAAACUAUAUAGGCAUUAGGCAUACUGUUGUCCAGCGCCCUUAGGCCUUAGUUCUUACCUAUCACGAAACAAUCAUGUAUAUAGAACAGGGACGGCGAACCUAUGUCACGCGUGUCACUCCGUGACACGCUUGCAUUAUUUCAGUGACACGCCAAUUUCAAAUAUAAUUCAUAAUUUGAAACUAUCAGACUAUCUUUACCUUAUUAUUGGAAUAUAUCGUAAGAUAUUGUAAUCUGUACUUUUCAUUUCCUAAGCCCGUAAACGAUUAGAUUAGAUCAUCAAUAAAUUAUAAAUUCGUUUUUCGCGUUUACGUACAACAGAAACAUGCCUUACAUGACGACUAAAAAAAAAAAAGGUCUGACACGCGAGGCAAA